UAAAAAGCUCGUAGUUGGAUCUGUGUAUCGGACGGUCGGUUCGCCGCUCGCGGCGUUUAACUGACCGGUCCGGACGUCCUGCCGGUGGGCUUCCGGCCCUUCGCGGGGCCGGUCGCCCGUUAACCUUCCCUCCGGGCUGCUCUUAACCGAGUGGCGCGGUGGGCCGGCACGUUUACUUUGAACAAAUUUGAGUGCUCAAAGCAGGCCUCGAGUUGCCUGAAAACUGUGUGCAUGGAAUAAUGGAAUAGGGCCUCUUCUCUAUUUUGUUGGCUUUUCUGAGAUAGAGGUAAUGAUUAAUAGGGACAGACGGGGGCAUUCGUAUUGCGACGUUAGAGGUGAAAUUCUUGGAUCGUCGCAAGACGGACGGAUGCGAAAGCGUUUGCCAAGAAUGUUUUCGCUAAUCAAGAACGAAAGUUAGAGGUUCGAAGGCGAUCAGAUACCGCCCUAGUUCUAACCAUAAACGAUGCCAGCCAGCGAUGCGCCGACGCCUCCGAUGACUCGGCGCGCAGCUUUUCCGGGAAACCAAAGCUUUUGGGUUCCGGGG
rnacentral:rRNA from 1 species